UACCCUACGGGAGGCAGCAGUGGGGAAUAUUGCACAAUGGGCGAAAGCCUGAUGCAGCAACGCCGCGUGAGCGAUGAAGGCCUUCGGGUCGUAAAGCUCUGUCCUCAAGGAAGAUAAUGACGGUACUUGAGGAGGAAGCCCCGGCUAACUACGUGCCAGCAGCCGCGGUAAUACGUAGGGGGCUAGCGUUAUCCGGAAUUAUUGGGCGUAAAGAGUACGUAGGCGGUUCUUUAAGCGUAUGGUCUAAGGCGAUGGCUUAACCAUCGUUCGCCCUGUGAACUGGGGG
rnacentral:rRNA from 1 species